rnacentral:lncRNA from 1 species
GCUGGAACCCGGGAUCUGACACAUGAUAGAUUACUGCUCUACCACAAAGCUAUACUCUUAGAAAAUGGUUUACUGAUUCACAAAGCUUCCAUCCUUGGCUGACUUCAGAACUGUCCUAGGUGUUUUCACAAACAGAUUAUCCCAGUUGAUGCUGGUGUCAUUAUUUCAGCUUCCCUCCUAGGCAGCACAGAUGUUUCAUGUCAUUGUCACUGAAAGUGCAGAAGAUAUUGAUGGACCUUGUGCCUUCUUGUCUGGGUUCCUCCUAUGUCUCUUCCACUGACCCUGAUGACCGCUGUUCUAAGUGCCUCUCAAAACUCAAGUGAGGCACUGCAACAUUCCCAGGAGAGAUGCAGUCCAUGUGGAGAUGCAAUGAACUUGUGCUGCAGAGCUGCUGGGAUGGAAUACUCAACAUUUGGAUUUUGGGUUUUGAAGAUUAUUCAUUUCCUUACAGUUCUGUAAUUUUUACUCACCAAUGAAGAAAAACAAAAUGAUGACAUUUGCAGGAGGAAGAUCUCACUACCAAGAGUUCUGCAAAGCAUGCAGGGAGAACAAAAAAGGCAGCUAGAUUAACUCGCCAAGAUCCCUGGACCCAAAGUCGUCACUUCUCACUGCCUCUCUGUAGAGAGAGGGUUGCUUCUGACAGCCCACCCACGCACAACAAAAUGUCUCAUUGCUCUGUGGGCUCCGUGCAUUGGCAUCACAUCCCCUCAUGCCUGGAAUCUGAACCACCGCCAGGACAUUCCUGAGUGACAGCUCCCAUGAACUAAUUAUUAAUGUUCUUGGCACUGAGGCUGGGUGGGCAUUUAUUCCCCUUACCCAGGGCUGGUGAUAGAUGGGGAUUUGCACAGGCUGCAUAAUUUCUUCAUGUCUCCAUAAGUCUCUGCCUUCUGCUGGCAUUUUAAGGAAUGUAUUUUUACAGAAGUUGGCACUAUUCAGUAAUUUUCCAGGAGGGCACAUUGCCCAGGCCAGAUGGACAUAUUUUUUUUCUGGUUCCAGCUGGUAAGUCCUGUUUGAUAAGAUUCUAUCCCAUCCUACUUGAACAAGGAUGCACAAUUUGCUUGCAAGUUGGGUAGUGAAAAAUGACCCUAGUGGCAGGUUGUGACAGAGGGCUGAGGUGGGAGGGCCACCCUGGGAACUACAACUAUUGCCAGAGUCAGAAGCUCCACAAUCACAAACCUGAUGAGUGCCAAGGAAGGGCAUUUCUGUUUGAGCAUACAUUGUGGGGCAGGCUGUCUUGAAGCCCUAAAGAGUUUCUCGUUUAUAGCAUUGAUAUCUCUGUUCCUCUCUGAAUCUUUCCAUGGUUAGACAGAGAAUCCUGGCAUGGUCAAGACAUCACUACAGUGUCCAAUUUUACUGCAAUAUGGGAUCCUUUGCUAUCUGUCAUACAGAGCAG